rnacentral:lncRNA from 1 species
CUGGGCAUCAGCAGAUGGCAAGAAAAGCUGCAAGAAAUGCAGACAUUGUUUUUCUCUUUCAUUCAUUCAAAAGCUGAUUAAAUUAUCUGAGCUUCUGUUUCCUUGUUAUAAAAUAGGGCGAAAAUUGUUACGUGCCGUAAAACUACUGCAUCUGGAGAUGGAGAUACAUUCCCUUAUGUGACACACCCAGCAGGGCCAGGCAUCUAGUAGGAGCCCAUGUGUCCACAGCUCACUCAGCUCACCCAAUAAACCCUGAGGGUCUGCUUCACUUUUUCCUUCCCGCACAAGCGUCACACUGACAGUCUGGCCUUUCCAAACCACCACUGGCAACUUCAACUGAACUGAUCAUAUGUCAACUAAUUCUAGGAGGCCAGUCCUGAUCCCAAGAAACGAUGACAUUGUCCACAUUGGAAAUCACAAACCUCGUCUGCCAAGUUGGACUCAUCCCACAGAUGUGAAUCUCUAGGGGCUAACAGAGGAUCAACGUGUGAACUAAAGCUGCCUUUACAAUCACCCCAAAGAGAAAACUAGGUAGCCAACUGCAUCUGAAAAACCAGCAAGUCUUCCCUAUUUGGGGAAGAGCAAAACAGAGCCAAACCUACUAUGGCCAAUGCCUGCGCCAUGUGCAGGAGGAUACCAAAGAGUGUCAAACAUGGUACCUGCCUUCAGGGGACUACCAGCAUCCCUCUGUCCCUGGCCUUCAAAUACCUGCCGUCCACCAGCGGGCUAAAUAGGUCAGUCAGUCCAAGAUGUAUUAAUGAGUCUUGAUGUCUCUUUCAUAAUUUAGGAUCUGGUCUUGCCUUGAAGCUGCCAGGUUCUAGAAACUUUGCUAUUUCUUCUUUUAUUCACUUGGAUCAUCAAAGGGAUAGAACACAUAAUCAUUUUUCUAUUGUUUGAACAGAACCCAUUACUGUUGCCGAGAAGUGGUAAUUGAGUUUAUCAAAUAUAAUUACUCCUCUCAACCCACCCCCUCUCCAGUCUGCCUUUCUCAAUCAGGAAGAACUAACACCACCUUUCACGAAGGAUACUUGCAUAUUUGAAUGGCUUCCCAGGACUCUUUAAGUGGCAUACAAUUACACUUAAUUUAAUUUUUUUGUCAUUAGUCCCAGAGGCUUUGAUUCAAAACCUGUGUUAUUCUGAUAUAAGGAAAAUAAAGCUCCACCUCAAAUUAAAUAUUUGCCUUUGCAUAUGGUUUGCUGUUCAUUGUACAACUGCUCUUUUGCUCGAGUCUUUCGUUCCCAGCAGCCACUUCUGGGCUUGGCAUCUUUUCCAGUUCCUUGUGUUGCCCCAUCAGUUGUCAGGUCACCAGGAGCCUGAGCACACUCAGGUUUCAGGGACACUUCCAGACUCCAAGGUCCCAGAAGGUGACACAUUUGGGAAUCUAACAUCUCUUGUAUUUUCC